GACGAACGCUGACGGCGUGCUUAACACAUGCAAGUCGAAGGGAGUGGCGAACGGGUGAGUAACACGUGAGUAACCUGCCCUUUUCUUUGGGAUAAGCCUGGGAAACUGGGUCUAAUACUGGAUGGAUUGGGUUGGGCUCGCGGCUUAUUAGCUUGUUGGCGGGGUGAUGGCCUACCAAGGCGGUGACGGGUAGGCAGCCUGAGAGGGUGACCGGCCACAUUGGUACGGAGAUAAGGCCCAGACUACUACGGGGGGCAGAAGUGGGGGAUAUUGCACAAUGGGCGAAAGCCUGAUGCAGCGACGCCGAGUGGGGGAUGAAGGCUUUCGGGUUGUAAACCUCUUUCGCUAGCGAACGGGUAGGUGGAGAAGAAGCGCCGGCUAACUACGUGCCAGCAGCCGCGGUAAUUC
rnacentral:rRNA from 1 species